AUCUGAAAUAGUUAAUAAAAGAGUGAGUUACGCUAAUCCAAUAAGAAUGUCACACUACUUACCGACACAGAAAUGAAUGUUGGUAAAAAUCAUAAAAAUAACUAAUAGAGCUCUUAAUUUAAGUAAAUUCGUUUAUCAUGAAUAAAAUCAUUUAACGCAUACUUACCAUAGCGAGAUUUCCAAAAUUGACCUAUAAAGGCAAUAGCAUAAAUAAUAUCAUAAUUUCAUAUUCAAUCAGUCGAAAUAACAACUUUCUCAUUUAUCAGCCUACUGGUAUCCAUGGAGGUCCAUAAGAAUGUUCCUACUACGCGUGAACCUUUAUUCAACAUUUUUAACUAACAGACCAUCCCCAUACCUUAUCCGGUAUGAGUGCCAAAAGAUACUAUCUCUUAAUACCACGUCCAGUAUAAGGGCGAAAUGGAUCGUCCCCCAUACCCCGUCUGAUAUGAGCGCCAAAAUACAAAUUCUUGAUACUCCGUUCAGUAUGAAGCAAUGUUCACGGUAGGGUUCCCUAUGUACCCAGUCCAUCCAACAUCUUUCAGGAUAUCAAGUAAGGCUACCAUUCAUCCAUUCACUUAAUCAAAUAAUUUUUCAUUUACCUUUAAUUUCUAGUUUCCCAAUUAAUUGUAAAUCAUGCAAAACAAGCAAUACAUGCAUAAAAAAAACAUAAUCGAAUUAUCAUACUAAUUUCAGUGUAUUAUCAUGCAUUCAAAACUGUAAAAUCAUCAAUCAAUUAAACAUUGCAAACAGUAAUAAAUAACCAGUUCUGACUCUAUUAGUAACCUUUAAUUAUUGAUAGUUUUAAAUUUGUAAAAUACCAUAUUAUUUAUAAUUAAACUUCAAUUCCAUAAGAGAGAAUAAGGUGAGAGAUUCUUACUCAAAUCGAUGUCUGGAAUGCUAAGUUUUUAGCUGCACCUAUUGGCAGUCCCCCGGUUCCCUGAAUUUUUCUUCAGAGAUUAAAGCAUGCUCUAAGUACUUGGAAAUAUACCAAAAAACUAAAAAUCGUUGUUAGAAACCCUUUCCAGCAAAUUUUGAGAUUCCGGCACAACGGUGCCGCCAUGCUCUGGUGACGACACACCGCCCGCAGUGGCAGUUUGCCUUGGGCUAGCCGUCUUUGGCCAGUUUCGGCCAAUUUUGUACUCAUUCCUGUGAGAAAACAUAUUAAGGGGCCUCGGUUAGCCAAAAAAAGUCUAAAAAUAGAGGCUUAUUGGUGGCAGAGUUUUUCGGUGCAGCGGCUCUGCCGGCUCACCUUCGUGAUUAGGUGUUUUGCUUCAGUUAACCUCUAGAAAAAAGAAUGGUGAUUACAAUGGUAGAAAAAUUACACGAAACGAAAUUUGGGAAGGGCCUCAUCAGAUGCAGUUUUUUAUUUUUCCCGCGGCGGUGCCACCGGGCUUUACCUGCGAUUUUUGACUCAUCCGCCAGUUCUUUUUCUCCGAUUUGGCCAUGAGGGUGUUCAAAAUCGAAUUCCGGGCUAACAAAAUUUUUUUUACUCUUUUCGCGGUCGGAGGUGGCUACGGCACUGUGGCGACAGGUGGUCGCUCCCUUCCAGACGACUGGUUCUUCUUCUCCGGGGGGGGGGGGUCUGGUGGGUAGGAUUAGAGUUUGAUGUGAAAUGAGGUAUUUAUAUUCGUCUCUUUUUAAUCUGGAUUGUCUAUCGCGUUUGAUCUACACUGUCCGAUCACGUUUAAAAAAGAAGUGAAUCUGGACCAUUCAUCGCUAUUUGAUCUAUAUCGUCCGAUCGCGUUUAAAAGGGAAACGGAUCCUAACCGUCAACACGCACGGGAACAAAUUCAGACUGUCUGAUCGCGGUUAGACGGAUUGCCAGCAUGACCUUUCGUGUGGUACCGCGCCAACGUGCCUUACCACACGGCGUGCUUCGGUUAAUCGAUACUGCUUACUAGGCAUCAUACGUGGUAUAUUUUUUAUAAAUUACAUUUUGACCUCUAGUUUUUUAUUUUUCUUUCAAAAUCAACAACAGAAUCUAAAUUUUCAUCCAUUUUUCCCAAAAUUAUUUUCAGUUUCAUUAUCCACAUAUUUUUUCCUAAUUUUUACAUCAAAUAAAAAUUCAUAAAUUAAAAAAUAAAUUUUCAUACAUUAAUUUUAAAUUUUUUUAAAAAAUUAAUUAAGAAUAUUACAACUCUCCCCCCUUAAAAGAAAUUUAGUCCCUCAAAUUUGUCUCUCUCUCACUCAAUCAAAUAGUUGGAAAUAUUGGGCUCUGAAAUCUGAUUCUAGCUCCCAUGUUGCCUCUCCCUAUAUGUGAUUCUGUCAUAGGACUUUAAUGAAAAGAAUUUUUCAGUUGCGGAGUACUAUGCGCUUUCGGUCCAUAAUACCGACCGGUACCUCCUCGUAGGACAGAUCCUCCUGUAGUGAAAAAAGCUCAUGGGCCAAGAUGUGAGGGGGUUCGGAUUGUACUUUCGUAGCAUGGAAACAUAAAACAUAUUAUGGACCCUGAAAAGUUCUGGAGGCAGUGCCAGUCUGUAAGCGGCGGUGCCAAUUCUGUAUAAGAUUUUAAAUGGCCCAAUAAACCGAAAAUUUAAUUUAUCCCUCUUGCCAAACCUACUGAUUUUCUUGAAUGGAGUGACUUUAAGAAACACCCGAUCACCUUUCUUAAAUUCUAAAUCUCUCAUCCGGGUAUCCGCUUAACUCUUCUGCCUGCUAUGAGCCAUCUGGAUGUUCUUCCUGAUCUUAACUAUUUUGGCUAUUGUCUCCUCCACAAGAUUUGGACCAAACAAUCUUCUAUCACUCAUCUCUUCCCAACAGAUUGGCGAUCUGCAUGGGAGGCCAUAUAAUGCCUCGUACGGAGCCAUGACAAUACUUGUUUGGUAGCUAUUAUUAUAGGCGAACUCUACUAGGGGUAAAUGAUUAUCCCAAUAGCCUCCGAAGUCAUGAACACAAGCUCGAGGUAUAUCCUCUAGUGUGCGGAUCAUCAUUUCUGAUUGUCCAUUAGUCUGAUGGUAGAAUACAGUACUAAGGGAUAGUUUCGUUCCUAUGUCCUGCUGAAAACUAGAUCAGAACUAAGAAGUGAACCUGGGGUCCCUGUCGGACACUACUAUCACUGGUACUCUAUAUAACCUGACUAUCUCCCGGAUAUACAUUCUUAUUAACUUGUCCAAGAAGUCGGUCAUCCUAAUGGCCAAGAAGUGGGAAGACUUAAUGAACCGGUCAAUAAUUACCCAAAUGACGUCAUGUCCCGAGCGUGUCUUAGGUAGUCUUGUCACGAAAUCCAUUGUGAUAUAUUCCAACUUUUACUCCAGAAUUGAUAAUGACUAAACUAGCCUAUCUGGGCGCUGAUGCUCUGCCUUGACUUGCUGACAUACUAAACACUUGGAAACAAAGUCGGUCACAUCUCUUUUCAUCCCAUUCAACCAAAAUCGGGAUCGCAUACUUUGAUACAUCUCAGUACUUUCAGAAUGCAUGGCAAACUUUGAGAUAUGGGUCUCGGUGAUAAUGUCCCUUUUUAGCUCCCUAUCACCUAGAACACACACCUUGUCCUGAAAUCUAAGCAACCCAUCAGCAGAGACUCGAAAUACUGAAUUAACUCCCUGUUCUGCAUUUUCUUGAGGGCUGCUAGGGUGAAAUCGGCGGAUUGAGCUUCUUUUAUACUCUAGAUUAACUCAGUUGAACAGUCAGAUAGGCCAGACAUGUGAUUCUCUUCAGGUUCUGAAGUUGUUCAUGUUGUGUGAUCCCUAUUGCCCUGCAUUCUGAAACUAUUAGAUGAGCUAAUAUACCUGCACUUUUCCUGCUGAGUGCGUUGGCUACCACGUUGCCCUUACCCUGGUGAUACAAGAUAUUACAAUCAUAGUACUUGAGGAGUUCUAUCUAUCUUCUCUUACGCAUGUUGAGAUCAUUUUGAGUUAAUAUGUGUUUCAAGCUCUUAUGGUCGAUAUAGAUCUGAAAGGUCUCCCCAUACAAGUAAUGGCGUCAAGUCUUCAAGGCGUGGAUAAUUGCAACGAGUUAUAAGUCAUGGGUGGGAUAGUUUUUCUCAUGACUCUUCAACUAUCUGAACCCAUAGGCUAUGAUAUUUCCAUGCUGCAUCAGAACACAACCCAACCCUGGUAGGAGGCAUCACUAUAAACUGUAUAUCCACUUGUCCCGCUCGGCAAGGCCAACACAGGUGCGGUAGUCAACUACUUCUUUAGUUCCAAAAAACUCCUUUCAUAGUCCUCGUUUCACUGGAACUUGACGUUCUUCUUUGUGAGCCGAGUCAAAUAAGCAGCUAGACUAGAAAAUUCCUCCACAAACUUGUGGUAAUAACCUACUAUUCCCAGAAAGUUACAAAUUUUCUUGAUCGAUGUUAAUUUUUCCUAACUGAGUACUGCUUCAACCUUUUCGGAGUUUACUGACACUCUAUCACUUGAUAUGAUGUACCUUAAGAAGAUAGUCUGCUCGAGUCAGAACCUAUAUUUACUCAGCUUUGCAUACAACUUCUUUUCUCUAAGAACCUGCAAAACCUGAAUAAGAUGGUGAGCGUGCUCCUCUCUACUUUUUGAAUAGACCAGGAUAUCGUCGAUAAAUACAAUGACAAACUGAUCCAAGAAUUAUCUGAAAACUCUGUUCAUUAUAUCCAUGAAGAUGGCUGAUGCGUUGGUUAGUCUAAAUGGCAUGACCAAGAAUUCAUAGUAUCCGUACCUGGUCCGAAAAACUAUUUUAGGAAUGUCUUCUGCCUUGAUAUUUAAAUGAUAGUAACCUGAACGUAAGUCUAUUUUGGAGAAGACUUUGGCACCAUGCAACUGAUAAUAAAGGUCAUCGAUCCUAGGGAGGGGUACUUAUUCUUGAUCGUAACCCUGUUCAGUCAUCUAUAGUCAAUACAUAAUUUUAACAUCUCAUCCCCCUUCCUUACAAAUGUGACUCCAGCACCCUAAGGGAACACACUAUAUCGGAUGAAUCCAUUAUCCUACAACGCAUUGAUAUGUUUUUUUAACUUCUUCAUCUCAACACGACUCAUGCAGUAAGGGGCAACCGAAAUAGGCUGAAUGUUUGGCUGAAGGUCUAUGGUGAAUUCAACUUCUCUAUCCACUGGCAGUCCAGGUAGUUCAUGCGAGAACACAUCCAGGAAGUCUCAGACUACCGAAAUCUCUUGAAUAAAAAUUUCUUUCUUAGAUUUGCCUAGUUAGAGAAAAAAGCCGAGUUAAAGCACUUGUUAAUAGGAAAAAUUUCCAUGAGAGAACAAAUGUUAGAGAAUUUUAUUAAUUUGUAAAUGACUCCUCAUUAGAAGGGUUGAAUAUAAGCUUCUUAUGAAAACAAUUUGCAGUGACGUGAUACACCGCUAAUCAGUUCAUUCCUACGAUUACAUCAAAGUCCCCUGUGUCAAUUUUUAUUAGGUCCACACUCAAUUUUUUAUAUGCUAUAUUUAUAACACAGGCUCUGUAUAUAACCUCUCACAGUAGUGUCCUACUCUCAGGAGUAGACACAAACAAUACAGAAUCAAGUCGUUCAGAUAAUAAAUUCAAGUUUAAUGCAAAAGUAUGUGAAACAAAUGAAUGUAAGGCACCAAUAUCAAUCAAAACAUGUGCAAGAUGAUUACAGAUAGUGUACGUACUCUGUAUCACAUCUGGAUUGGCCUCUGCAUCCUGCUGAGUGAGGUUGUAAGCUCUGCCUUGGAUAAAAGGUCUGGUCUAGUUCUGAUUCCUCGGGCACUCCCAUAUAUGCGGCAGGUAUUGUUGAAGCAAUAGCAAGGUCGGUCCCCAUAAUCUUUGCCACAGUGUUGGCAAAUCCUGCCGCGUCCUGUUGUUGGAAUCUGAUGAGGAGACUGAGCCAUUAGUCUAGGUCUCUUGUCUUGCUGAACAGAUGCAGUAGGUGCUGGUUUGUGGUGUGAAACCGAGGGCCUGAGGUUCCCUACUGCUUGAGGAAAAAUGAGAAGGAACCUCUACAUUAGUUGUGCUUUGGCCAACACAACCGAGUAAGUACUGAGCUCGAAUACAUACAGCUGCUGUCUGAUCUAAGGACAGAGGCCCCACUCUAACCUUCAUGCCUUUUUGCCUUCAUCCAUCAUGCUCUCAAGGGAAUACCGGCCCAACUUUAGAACUUUCAAGCAUAUUUUGAUACAGUCAUGUCACCUUGGACUAGGUGAUGUCAGAGAUGUUCUGGGAGGUACUUUGCAUUAAAGGCCAUCAAGAAUUGUUCCCAAGUGAUUGGAACGGGUAAAGUGGCCUGCUUGAGUUACCACCAGUGGCCUGCCUCUCCCACCAGCAUAUAGGUGGCAAGUAUGACUCUCUGUUCGAAAAUCACCCCAAGAGUCGUGAAUGUCUUCUCUGUCUCAGCUAACCAGUAGUCGGCCUCUUCAAAAGAAAAUCCCUCUACAAAAAUAGAUGAGUUUAGUCUUUUAUACCUCUCAAUGUAGUCUGGGUCCAUCAUGGGAGGAGCUGGGUCCCGUGGGAGAGGGACUGGAUUGUGCUGGGGAUGGACUGGAUGGCUCUGUGGUAGAACUAGAUGAUACGGCGGAGGCACUGGAUUGUACUGAAGUGGUAUCGGGUAAUGCGGUUGAGGCACCGGAUCAUAUUGUAGUGGUGCUGGAUGGUACUGUAGAGGAGCAGGGUCGUACCGGGACAGCUCAGGAUCCUCCUGUUGUAGGGGUGGCUCAACCUGUGAUAGCGGGGGAGGGUAAGCUAGUUCCCUCCUUUUCUUUCGGGCUUACUAGGCAGCGAUGAGUCUCUCCAGCAUUUCAAACAAUCGAUCAACAUCUUCUCGAAGCGAACCCUCCAGGACUGCUCAGUUUAGUGGGGGUAUUCCUCUCCUCAUCUAUCUAUACCUGCAUUUCAUAAUGAAUAUUUGAGUGAUAAUUCAUUCUUUGGGAUUUUCUAGGAUUUUUGUGUAAGGAAUGGUUCCGAUGAAUGUUAUUUUGAAACCAAUUGUAACGACCCGAAAAUUAAAAGGAAGUAAAUGAUAAAUUAAGUGCGGAAGCAAAAUAAUAGCGUUAGGGUUUACAUUCCUUACACAAUAAUUUAGAUUACCCAAUAGGGAUAAGAGAAUGACAAUUUUAAAAAAAAUAACGAAAAAUCAAAGAAAUAAAUGAAAAGUAGACAACUGGACAUCCUAUUCGCAACCCUCUUGUAGAUCGGACUCUAGAUCUUAGUCCUUUUGAUCUGAAAUGGUUAAUGAAAGAGUGAGCUACACUAGCUCAGUAAGAAUGUCACACUACUCACCAACAUAAAAAUCAAGGUUGGUAGAAAUCAUAAAAACAACUAAUAGAGCUCUUAAUUUAAGUAAAUUCGUUUAUCAUAAAUAAAAUUAUUUACCGAAUACUUAUCGUAGUGAGAUUUUCAAAACUGACCUACAGAGGCAAUAACAUAAAUAAUAUCAUAAUCUCAUAUUCAAUCAGUGUGAACAACAACUUUCUCCUUUAUCAGCCUAUCAGUAUCUAUGGGGGUCCAUAGAAAUGUCCCUACUACGCGUGAACCUUUAUUCAACAUUUUUAAUUAACAGUCCGUUUUCAUACCCCGUCUAGUAUGAGCGUCAAAAAAUACCAUCCCUCAAUACCUCGUCCGAUAUGAGGGUAAAUGGACCGUCCCCAUACCCCGUCCGGUAUGAGCACCAAAAUACAAAUCCUCGAUACCCCAUCCGGUAUAAGGCAACGUUCACAGUAGGGUUCCCUAUGUACCCGAUUCGUCUACCAUCUUCUAGAAUAUCCAAUAAGGUUGCCAUUUAUUUAUGUACUUAAUCAAACAAUUUCUCAUUUACCUUUAAUUUUCUGUUUCUCAAUUAACUGUAAAUAACGUAAAACAAGUAAUACAUACAUCAAGGAAAUACAAUCGAAUUAUCAUACCAAUUCCAGUGUAUUAUCAUGCAUUCGAAACUGUAAAAUCAAUCAAUUAGUUAAACAUGGCAAACAAUAAUAAAUAACCGAUUCUGACUCCAUUAGUAACCUUUAAUUAUCGAUAUUUCUAAAUUACGCAAAAUACCAUAUUAUUUAUAAUUAAACUUCAAUUCCAUAACAGAAAAUAAGGUGAGGGAUUUUUACUCAAAUUNNNNNNNNNNNNNNNNNNNNNNNNNNNNNNNNNNNNNNNNNNNNNNNNNNNNNNNNNNNNNNNNNNNNNNNNNNNNNNNNNNNNNNNNNNNNNNNNNNNNNNNNNNNNNNNNNNNNNNNNNNNNNNNNNNNNNNNNNNNNNNNNNNNNNNNNNNNNNNNNNNNNNNNNNNNNNNNNNNNNNNNNNNNNNNNNNNNNNNNNNNNNNNNNNNNNNNNNNNNNNNNNNNNNNNNNNNNNNNNNNNNNNNNNNNNNNNNNNNNNNNNNNNNNNNNNNNNNNNNNNNNNNNNNNNNNNNNNNNNNNNNNNNNNNNNNNNNNNNNNNNNNNNNNNNNNNNNNNCAGUUCGUCGAUUUUGCGACUUUGUACUCAUCUGUGAGAAACAUAUAAAGGGGUCUCGGUUAGCUGAAUAAAGUCGAAAAACAGAGGCUUACUAGUGUGGGGUUUUUCGGUACAGCAGCUCCACCAGCUCACUUUCGCAGUUUGGUGUUUUGCUUCGGUCAACCUCUAGAAAAAGAAUAGUAAUUAUAAUUAUGAAAAAAUUGUACAAAACGAGAAUCGAGAAGGACCUCAUCAGAGGCAGUUUUUAAUUUUUUCCACGGGGGUGCUGUAAGGCUUUACCCACAGUUUCCGGCUCAUCUGUUAGUCCUUUUGCUUCGAUUUGGUCAUUGAGGUGUUCAAAAUCGAAUUUCGAGUGAAUAAAAUUUUUAUUUACCUUUUUUGGCAGUCGGAGGUGGCUUCGGCAUGGCGGCGGGAGGCGGUCGACUCCCUUCCUGAUGAUUGGUUCUUCUUCUCCAGUAAGAGGGUCUGGCAGCCAAGGUUAGGGUUUGGUGUGAAGUGAGGUAUUUAUAUCCAUCUUUUUUAAUAUGGACCGUCUAUCGCGUUUGAUCUGAACCGUCCAAUCGCAUUUAAAAGGAGAACGGAUCCAGACCGUCUACACGCGUGGGAACAAAUUAGGAUCGUCCAAUCGCGGUCACGCGAAUUGCCAGCAUGGCCUUCCGCGUAGCACCGCGCCAGCAUGCCUUGCCACGCAGCAGGGUCCGGUUCGUCGAAGCUGCUGACUGAAUGUCCUACUUGACACAUUUUUCUUAAAUUAUAUUUUAACCCCAAUUUUCGAUUUUUCUUUCAAAAACACUUUCAGAAUCCAAAUUUUUACCAUUUUUUUCCAAAAUCAUUUUCUAUU
rnacentral:lncRNA from 1 species